rnacentral:sRNA from 4 species
AUAUCUCUCUGUACGGGAAGGAUGAGAAGCUUCGACUAAGGUUCGAUUCGAGCGUCAGCGAGAAAGCGUUGCCGCAGGCAACGACCCGAAGGGC